UGGGGAAUUUUGGACAAUGGGGGCAACCCUGAUCCAGCAAUGCCGCGUGUGUGAAGAAGGCCUUCGGGUUGUAAAGCACUUUUGUCCGGAAAGAAAACUUCGGGGCUAAUACCCCUGGAGGAUGACGGUACCGGAAGAAUAAGCACCGGCUAACUACGUGCCAGCAGCCGCGGUAAUACGUAGGGUGCGAGCGUUAAUCGGAAUUACUGGGCGUAAAGCGUUCGCAGGCGGUGCUGUAAGACCGAUGUGAAAUCCCGGGAUUAACCUGGGAACUGCGUUGGUGACUGCAGCGCUGGAGUAUGGCAGAGGGGGGUGGAAUUCCACGUGUAGCGGUGAAAUGCGUAGAGAUGUGGGGGAACAACGAUGGCGAAGGCAGCCCCCUGGGGCAAUACUGACGCUCAUGCACGAAGGCGUGGGGAGCAAACAGG
rnacentral:rRNA from 1 species